GACGAGCCACACAAACGUUAUUCGGAAUUACUGGGCUUAAAGGGUGCGUAGGCGGGCGCGGAAAGUUGGGUGUGAAAGCCCUCGGCUCAACCGAGGAAUUGCGCCCAAAACUUCCGUGCUUGAGGAAGAUAGAGGUGAGCGGAACUCAGGGUGGAGCGGUGAAAUGCGUUGAUAUCCUGAGGAACACCGGUGGCGAAAGCGG
rnacentral:rRNA from 1 species